UACGUAGGGGGCAAGCGUUGUUCGGAUUUACUGGGCGUAAAGGGCGCGUAGGCGGCAAAUUAAGUCAGCUGUGAAAUCUCCGAGCUUAACUCGGAACUGUCAGCUGAUACUGAUCUGCUAGAGUGCGGAAGGGGCAAUCGGAAUUCUUGGUGUAGCGGUGAAAUGCGUAGAUAUCAAGAGGAACACCUGAGGUGAAGACGGGUUGCUGGGCUGACACUGACGCUGAGUGCGCGAAAGCCAGGGGAGCAAACGGG
rnacentral:rRNA from 1 species